AAUCUAUUUUCUAAAUGAUUUUUUCUUAAUUAUCUCUCUGAAUUCAUUAACCUGGCCUUUUCCUAGUGUUCUGUACAAUGAAUGAGAGUUAACAUUGGAUAAUAAUUCUAAAUAUAUUGACUCCUUGCAGUGGAAAAUAUAAAUAAAUGCAAGUCUACUGCCAGAAAAUACCUGAGCAGAGUGAAUUUGUGUUUGGUAAUUUAAUUCUUGAACUAAACAAUUAAUAGUUUUUUUCCCCAAUGAACAUCUUGGUAUUUUUUAAUUAAUCAGAUAACACACACACACGCAUGCACACACACGCGCACCACACAUGCACACACGCUUGCAUGAUUUUAUGUCCAAGAAUAUUUGAAGUACUAAAACCACUGCUCAAUAGUUUGUUUUAUCUUACAAACAGAGUUUCAUACAGCCUAUUUCAGAAGGGUUAAGUGUGUGUAUGAGUACGGAGUGUAAAUUCCUAAAAAAAAAAAAAGCUUAAUAUAUUAUUUGUGUUAAACUUGGCCAUAUACAAAUAUUUUCUAAUGAAAGUUCAACAAUCAUUGCUGAUUUUGAUAUUAUGGUGCACGUUACCAAUAAAAAACAAACAAACGUCACCCCCCUGCUCACUGACCUCCACUGGCUGCCUGUUAUGGCUCGCAUCAAAUUUAAGACUUUGGUGCUUGCAUACCAGGCAGCUAAGGGGUCAGCACCUAGGAUCAUCAGACCCUACACACCAGCCAGACCUCUCCGUUCUGCCACCUCUGGACGCUUGGCACCUCCUCCUCUUCAUGUCUGUACUUCCCGCUCACGUCUGGUGUCUGUCCUGGCCCCUCGCUGGUGGAAUGACCUCCCCGUGGCAGUCAGAACAGCCGAGAAUCUGACUACCUUUGAGCGCAGACUAAAGACUCAUCUCUUCAGGCUGCACCUCUCCCCACCCCUCCCUAGCCUCUAGUUUAGCUCAAUGUACCUAGUUAGACUAAUGCGACCACGUUCGUUUUUAUUUGGCAGGAUUGUUUUUGUCUGAUUCUGAUUAGGCAAAUGUGAUUUCAGUGCUAGUUUGUACUUGCCAGGAUUGUUUGUUUGCUGAACAGGUUACCCUACAGGGUUGGAGUCCUGAUCUAUGUGGUCACUUCUGGCACUACGAUCUUUACUUCACUCUAGUGUGUUUCUUUUGCACCUCUGCACCUUGAACUAAUGCACUUGCUGUAUGUCGCUCUGGAUAAGAGCGUCUGCUAAAUGCCUGUAAUGUAAUGUAAUGUAAUAAAACGUGAAUGAACUUGUCGAAAUUUAAUUGACAUUAAUGUAUGCAUCCACAAACUUGAAUCUGAAAUGUGUAGGCCUGAAUGUUUACUCUUGAGACAGAAGGAUGAUCUGCAACACCUUUUUUAUUCAUCUUUUAGAUGAUGACCCGGAAUCAAUACGUUUGAAUUUUGGAGAUACUUGGCUGGAUGAUAUGGGAUUCUUUUUUGAUUACGGUAUCCAGAACGGGUCUGUAGUGCGGGUGGUCAGGAGAAUGGCGGGCGGCAGCGAUCCGGAGCCUCGGGUGGUGGCCAGCGCUGGGGCCAGGGUUGAUGCCGAUCGGAAAUUGUGUAACGUGAUGUAACAGUCAAUGUCCCACGUCGUCUGCGAGAAACAUCCGCUCCCUACAACAAGAACAUGGCUGCCAAUCUGACUGUGAGAAACAUGCGCUCCCUAUGACAAGAACAUGGCUGCCAAUCUGACUGCGAAAACUGCCAGAACUUCUUGAACCCUCGUCGCAAUCAUCAAAGACACGUACGAUCCUGUGGAAACAUAUGUACAUCUGUACAGUGUGUAUAUGUAGUUAAAGCUAGUAAUAUUACCCAUUAUGCAAUAACUGAAUAUUGAUUACACUGAAAACAUAUAAAAGGGGUAGAAAACUGAUUUGACAUAAUUAUCAAUAAAAUAUAAGAUCUUAGGACCUACAUAGUUAACUUUUUACAUUUUAUUAUUAUUUCUUUUACAUACAUCUGACACGCUUGUCAUUUGUUUUGUAAUGUAUUUAAGUGAAUUCUUUCACCCCUCUACAAAGCUUUGACAGCUUUGAGGCUAUAUUGUUCGUUGAUCUUGGCUAAUUAAAGGUGCAGUAUGUAAGUUUGUUGUUGUAGGAAAAUUCUGAGACUCCCCAUGAUUGUGAUGGCGUCACAUGUUAAAGUUAGGGAAUUCCCAUCAAUGUUGAUCAAACUGUUUCCUCCAAACUCUCAAUGCUUCAUGAUAAAAAUACAUCACAUGUAUAACUAUACACUCAUAUAAUCAAUAUGUAAUCCAAUAAAUAUAUAUCAGUAGUUGCAGCUAAGCUUAUGGAAACGCAAGAAACCACAGUAUCCACUGUAGAAAAAAAGCAAACGCAGAAGGCUUAAAAAAAACCACACUUACUCACUCAGCAGAGAACAUUAAUCAAAUACUAACCAUACACUUAUAUUUUCAAACUGAUCAACUGCUAAUAAAUGUGCUAGAAGACUAAUAUUUUAUAGUGACCCCUAUGUAACCUGAAUACAAAUGGAAAAUUACAGGAGGCUAUAACUCUGUAACUUGUAGGCUUAAUGGAAAAUUACAGAAUAAAGACUAAUAUUUGUUUGAGGGAAAGUUGGGGUAACAUUCCACAAUAACGUUAUCACCUAAGAACAGAAAAUCAUUGUGGUGCCAAGAAGGUCAGGUCGACCCAAGAGCAGGAAAUCAAAAUCAUUGUGGUGCCAAGAAGGACAGAUGGCUGGUAUUUUUAGAAAUGUGUUAAGGGGAGUUGUGGGGUACAUUUGUGUAUAAAAUGAAUGUAAAACUGACAAUCGAGGUUCAAUUCUGCAGAAUUGAUCCGGCUUUGUGCACCUGUGCAAAUACAGUCUAACCUUUCUGAA